rnacentral:tRNA from 1 species
GCCGAGGUGGUGGAAUUGGUAGACACGCCAUCUUGAGGGGGUGGUGAGCGAAAGCUUGUGGGAGUUCAAAUCUCCCCCUCGGCACCA